rnacentral:tRNA from 1 species
GGGGACUUAGGAUAAACAUAAAUACCGAGAGCCUUCAAAGCUCUAAACAGAAGUGCAAACCUUCUAGCCUCCG